rnacentral:rRNA from 1 species
AAUAGAUACCCUGGUAGUCCACGCCGUAAACGAUGAGUGCUAAGUGUUAGAGGGUUUCCGCCCUUUAGUGCUGCAGCUAACGCAUUAAGCACUCCGCCUGGGGAGCACGGCCGCAAGGCUGAAACUCAAAGGAAUUGACGGGGGGCCCGCACAAGCGGUGGAGCAUGUGGUUUAAUUCGAAGCAACGCGAAGAACCUUACCAGGUCUUGACAUCCUCUGCCAACCCUAGAGAUAGGGCGUUCCCCCUUCGGGGGACAGAGUGACAGGUGGUGCAUGGUUGUCGUCAGCUCGUGUCGUGAGAUGUUGGGUUAAGUCCCGCAACGAGCGCAACCCUUGAUCUUAGUUGCCAGCAUUCAGUUGGGCACUCUAAGGUGACUGCCGGUGACAAACCGGAGGAAGGUGGGGAUGACGUCAAAUCAUCAUGCCCCUUAUGACCUGGGCUACACACGUGCUACAAUGGAUGGUACAAAGAGCUGCGAACCCGGCGAGGGUAAGCGAAUCUCAUAAAGCCAUUCUCAGUUCGGAUUGUA